CCUACGGGUGGCAGCAGUGAGGAAUAUUGGUCAAUGGACGAGAGUCUGAACCAGCCAAGUAGCGUGAAGGAUGACUGCCCUAUGGGUUGUAAACUUCUUUUAUAUGGGAAUAAAAUGUUCCACGUGUGGGAUUUUGUAUGUACCAUAUGAAUAAGGAUCGGCUAAAUCAGUGCCAGCAGCCGCGGUAAUACGGAGGAUCCGAGCGUUAUCCGGAUUUAUUGGGUUUAAAGGGAGCGUAGGUGGAUUGUUAAGUCAGUUGUGAAAGUUUGAGGCUCAACCGUAAAAUUGCAGUUGAAACUGGCAGUCUUGAGUACAGUAGAGGUGGGCGGAAUUCGUGGUGUAGCGGUGAAAUGCUUAGAUAUCACGAAGAACUCCGAUUGCGAAGGCAGUUCACUGGACUGCAACUGACACUGAGGCUCGAAAGUGUGGGUAUCAAACAGGAUUAGAUACCCGAGUAGUC
rnacentral:rRNA from 1 species